rnacentral:tRNA from 1 species
GGGGACAGCUCAGUGGUAGAGCGCGUGCCUAGCACGUAUGAGGUCCUGGGUUCAAUCCCCAGUGCCUCCG